UACGAAGGGGGCUAGCGUUGCGCGGAAUCACUGGGCGUAAAGCGCACGUAGGCGGAUUGCUAAGUCAGGGGUGAAAUCCUGGAGCUCAACUCCAGAACUGCCUUUGAUACUGGCAACCUUGAGUCCGGGAGAGGUGAGUGGAACUGCGAGUGUAGAGGUGAAAUUCGUAGAUAUUCGCAAGAACACCAGUGGCGAAGGCGGCUCACUGGCCCGGUACUGACGCUGAGGCGCGAAAGCUAGGGGAGCAAACAGG
rnacentral:rRNA from 1 species